rnacentral:tRNA from 592 species
GGGUGCUUAGCUCAGUUGGUAGAGCGGCGCCCUUACAAGGCGUAGGUCGGGAGUUCGAGCCUCUCAGCACCCACCA